rnacentral:lncRNA from 1 species
AUUUUGGUUGUAAUUUGAUUUGAUCAAAUGUUGUAAAAGGGCUUAAGCUCUUCUUUACUUUAAAGUAAUUUGUAUUAUGCAAAUGUUGUAAUGAGCAUAAGCUCACCUUUACUUUGAAGUACUUCUUUCUUGCUUUAUUUGAUAUGCAUGAAAAUGAAGUAGUUGGGUUCAACGCCCCUAAGACAACACGCCUUAAUGUGAUUAAACGCGUAACUAAAAUCAAUCUUCAUUCCUAGACCGAGAUUCAACACAAGGCUCGUGUUGAAUCUAAACAAAGGUUCAUAAUCAUCCUUAGGCCCUAAGGCAACUAUAUGUAGUCCAUCAAAUGAAUGCAAAGUUUAUGUUAGUAGUAUCAUAUACUCUUGCUUAAAAAUCGUUUUAAAAGCAUAGUGGGAGUAUUAUGUACAACUAAAACAAUGAGAUGGACCAAUAGUUGUAAUAGGACCAAAAUUGUUUUUAAUAGAGAUUAAAAUGUAUGUUUAUAUGUGGUGAGACCUAAAACCCUCAACCAAACCAAUAUUAAGUUGAUAAGCGGAGAGUGCUUUGAACACUCUUUCGUGGCCUUCCACCGUGGUAGGCUCCGAUCGUUUGUGACUCG